GUCCCUCUGUCCCCACGCCACGAGGGGAUCGUCUCGUCAUCCCCACGCCAUGAAGUGAUCAUUCCUCCAUCCUCAAGCCAUGAGAGAAUCAUCUCGUCAGCCCCGGGCCAUGAGAGGAUCGUCCCUCUAUCCCCUUGCUAUAAGGGAAUUAUCCCCAUGCCACGAGGGGAUAUCAUCCAUGAGGGCCUUGUCCCGACAUACCCACAGCCUGGUCCUCCUGCCCUCUGUGUCCCUGGCACCCUCAGACCCUUCAUUAUGACCAGAGCCAUCAAAAGAAUGGGGUAAAUCCCUUAAAAGUCCUCUCAACACUCUACACAGAAAAAAUAUGGGACUCUGAGGGCAAGUCAGAAUGCCCACCUCAGGUGGCGCUUGCCCAUGCCAGCCAUUCCCUCACCAUUCCUCAAACCAGGCCUGUGGGACAGAGCUGCAACUGACAAAGGACUCAGAAUCAGCUCUUGGCACGAAGCAAAGCACAAAUCUGAACUUAGAUGUGUCUGGGACAGAACAACACUUUUCUUUGUUUCGGGUGAGAUUUCAGCGUGCCAGUUGUACCACUACAGGCAGAAAACUGCACAGACCUCUCUGACCCCAGCAGCUCCAAGCAUGGCAAAGACAGAGAAAAUAAGAGGGAACUUGGGCCAUCAGAGAGGAAAGUAAAGCCAGAAUUACAAGCCUGGAAAAUGAAGAUCACUGGUGCAUGAUGCUUCACUUGGUCUUAGGCUGUUAGACUGCACAAAAUGCCUCCCAGGUUAAGGAAUUCAGAUCUGGAUUGCUGGGCAGCCCGACUGCUUUCAUGACCAAGAAAAAGAAAGAGAGAUGUAAAAAGCCAUCCAUAAAAAGCCAGCC